AUUGAACGCUGGCGGCAUGCUUUACACAUGCAAGUCGAACGGUAACAGCACUUCGGUGGCUGACGAGUGGCGAACGGGUGAGUAAUACAUCGGAACGUGCCUAGUAGUGGGGGAUAACUACUCGAAAGAGUAGCUAAUACCGCAUGAGAUCUAAGGAUGAAAGCAGGGGACCUUCGGGCCUUGCGCUACUAGAGCGGCUGAUGGCAGAUUAGGUAGUUGGUGGGAUAAAAGCUUACCAAGCCGACGAUCUGUAGCUGGUCUGAGAGGACGACCAGCCACACUGGGACUGAAACACGGCCCAGACUCCUACGGGAGGCAGCAGUGGGGAAUUUUGGACAAAGGGCGCAAGCCUGAUCCAGCAAUGCCGCGUGCAGGAUGAAGGCCUUCGGGUUGUAAACUGCUUUUGUACGGAACGAAAAGCCCUCUUCUAAUACAGGAGGGUCAUGAAGGUACCGUAAGAAUAAGCACCGGCUAACUACGUG
rnacentral:rRNA from 1 species